AUGCACGCUGGCGGCGUGCCUCAUACCUGCAAGUCGCGCGCACGGACGAGAAGCUUGCUUCUCUGAUGUUAGCGGCGGACGGGUGAGUAACACGUGGAUAACCUACCUAUAAGACUGGGAUAACUUCGGGAAACCGGAGCUAAUACCGGAUAAUAUUUUGAACCGCAUGGUUCAAAAGUGAAAGACGGUCUUGCUGUCACUUAUAGAUGGAUCCGCGCUGCAUUAGCUAGUUGGUAAGGUAACGGCUUACCAAGGCAACGAUGCAUAGCCGACCUGAGAGGGUGAUCGGCCACACUGGAACUGAGACACGGUCCAGACUCCUACGGGGGGCAGCAGUAGGGAAUCUUCCGCAAUGGGCGAAAGCCUGACGGAGCAACGCCGCGUGAGUGAUGAAGGUCUUCGGAUCGUAAAACUCUGUUAUUAGGGAAGAACAUAUGUGUAAGUAACUGUGCACAUCUUGACGGUACCUAAUCAGAAAGCCACGGCUAACUACGUG
rnacentral:rRNA from 1 species